rnacentral:lncRNA from 1 species
AAAGCACAAGUGAAGAUAACGUUGCAGACGUGCCGUGCUCCCCUUUCAUCAUUGCCAAAGGAGAAAUCUUUCUGACUGCCGGGGCAAUUGCCAUCUGUAUUGAUACCCAUGCUGUGAUCGAAUCCAAUACACCGUGCCAGGGAUUCAAGUUGAUGUUCUUUACACACUUCGCUUUUACUGUUGAAUAGCACAAGGAGGUCAGCCUAACCCUGGAGUUCACACAAAGGGCAGCCGCAGCAAUCAACCCUGACAGAGGGAGCAAGGUCGAUAAGUCAAGGAAGCAGCGCUGCCUCACACCACAAAUGGCCAACUUAGAGCUCUGCGAGACUAUGAAUGCUAAGCGUUUCAACGAAAAAUUCGCUGUGUCAUUGUGCAUAUAUAUCUAUACAUUUUACAAACCAGUUUGAGUCUACGGUGACAAAAAGUAUGCAGUUUUCAUUAUUUUGAAGUGUUUACAUGCAGCA